rnacentral:rRNA from 1 species
GGGGAAUAUUGCGCAAUGGACGAAAGUCUGACGCAGCAACGCCGCGUGGGUNAUGAAGGCCUUCGGGUCGUAAAGCCCUGUCAGGAGGGAAGAACCAGGUCUUUCGGGGCCUCUGACGGUACCUCCAAAGGAA